CUAACGGUGGCUUAGUGGUUAACACGUCUGCCUCACACCCCUGGGGUUGGGGGUUCGACUCCCUCCCCGUAUG